ACACUGUAAAAAAUUAUUUAGCAGUUUAGUUGUUUCAAUGAAUUUUUUUAUGUUGACACAACUUGCAGUUACUGAAUUUGUUCAUUCAACUAAAAAUUUUAAGUUUUCAGUGUCUCAACUAGUUUGAAAGUUGACUGAACUAGGUUAUUUGUCCUCAUAACUAAAAAAAAUUUGUUGACUCAAUUCAAUAGCAAUAUCACGUUCACAACAUCACUUAUCGCGAGAUCUCGUCAUUCUCGUGAAGGCUGUUGAAGAGAGAAGAAGGCCGUCAGACAUUCUAGUCAGUUUCUCCUCAAAGUUUGGACUUUUUACUAGAAUACAACUUUGGUAAGUAAAAUAUUCGUAUUCAUUGGCUUAAUGUGUAAAAUUACAUUUGUUGUCUCAGAAGAGUAAGUAUGGUUUAAAGAGUCUUACAUUCUGUAUAUAAGUUACUGUAUGUAAAUGUUCGUUUCGCGGCACCCUGAAGCCUCAAAAUACAGGCGGUUCCACAGUAUUUUCCUUAUAAAUAUUAAAACAGAUAUUCCCCCAUGCGGGACAGCGGAGCUGAACUUAUGUGGAGAACAAUAAAAAUACAGUCUGUAUGUAUUAUUUGAGCCCAGAGCUGCGUUAGAGACCGUUCAAAAAGAGCGCGAGAGCUCAUCGGAUCACUGUAUGGAUUAAGAACGGCGGGAAUAAAAAAAAAGGAACUGCUCUUAACCUGACAGCGUAAGACAUCCGUCAGAAUAUUCAACGAUGAAAAAUUAGGAGAUAAAAAGAAGAUUACUACUCGAACUGUGUCUUUUCUGUAUGUUAUAAGGGCAACGAAUGAGCAGCACAGAUGAGCACCUCCCUCAGAGUUCUUCCGGAGCGCGUAACUUAACGUUACAUUUGAUAUCGCUGACAUAAGCCUAGUUCUGAUGAUUUUUUUACAGUCUACAGUUCAGAUGAAGUUCUGAAGGUAGCGUUACAAACUCUUCUUUCAGUUUUCUGAAGUAACGUUAGUCAUUCAAGUGCCUCACUAGAACCUAGUGUAAUGCUGCGUGAAUAUCUGUUUUUAUAUAGUCUAUGGUGAAUAUACGGUCAUAAGUAAAUUGCAUGCGUUCAAAUCUAUAUAUUUUAGAAUAAAAGUAAUAAUAGCAUAUAUCUUGUAUAAAUAGAGAUACAAUAACGAUCGACACAAAUGUGUUAAAUGUCCUUUUAUUGUGUUAUAAUUAUGUGUUGUGUCAUUUAAAAGCAUCGUCUGGAUGGUAAAGUUUGUCUUUGGCAUUUAAUACAAACUUGUCAAUGCAUUUGACUUUCUCUGUAAAGAUUUAUUUAUAUGUAUGUUUAUUAUUUUACAGUGUUUUAACAUGUUUUUGUAUUUUUCAUGUUUAUGAUAUUUUGGGAUGACUGAAGAUUCAGAGCAGAAUUCAAUAAUCCUGUGAAUGGACCACAGCGAGUCCUUUUGUAGUUAUCCAUCAAAAUGAUAAGCAGACAUAAUGGAAAUGACAUUUACAUUGUAGAGCUUGGACAAAGUUCACACAGGCUCUGCGCAGGAAUUCAUCAAGGACAUGACUGCUGGGAUCACACUUGUGGAUGACCAAACUGAGCACCAUCAGUCUGCAGUGAUGUGAUCCAGCCAUCCAGUGACAUUAAGGAUGUUGAGAAAGAAAUUGAAGAGGGAAUUCUGAUUGUAACUGAGGAGCAGCAAUGUGAUGUGCUUCCCAAGGAAUAACCAACUUUGGUCUCAUUUGGACAUCCUGUCAUCACUGACAUCUCCCAUGUCCCCAAGGCAUUUGGACUCCUAAUGGGUCUGUAUGCAGUGAACAUCCACUACCUCCAGCACAUUAAAUACACCAUUCAGGCUCUGCAAAAACUUGUGAAGAC